rnacentral:lncRNA from 1 species
GAACUUAAGAGUUUUGAACUUGAGGGGAAGCACCAGGUCUAAAACUAAGCUCAAAUCUUUAGCAUCGAUCCCAUAGUGAUAGUCAGCAUUUUUCAUUGCUUUGAACUUAUCCUCUAACCACCUGCAUCAGUCUUUCAAUUUUUUGAGAGCUCCACUCUUGCUUUUCCAGCUUCCACAUGUCAACCAGAUUAGAGUAUGGGAUUAGUUGGGUUAUCCCCUGGAUUAGAGCCUAAGUCUGCUUGAUAGUUAAUUGGCAUUGAAGCACCGGCCUGAAAUUGUUGAGGCUUCAUUGUAACGGAUGGCCUUCCCGUGUACACCUCAGAGUGUGUCUGAGCGUUUGUCGGGGUAAAACUAGAGGGUAGAGAGGAUCUUCAUUGUCAUCCCCAGAAUUGACCAUAGGGCUUUCUCUUUUUUUUUUGCCCCUUAGCCAACAACUGGUCAAUUGGUUUAUCAUGUUCCUUUGGGACUCCAGCACCUGGUCCCUCAUAUCCUGUUGAAUCUUUACCAAUUGUUCUUGCAUCUGUGUUUGCAUAUGCUCUUGCAUUUCCUUUUGCAUUUGUUCCAAUCUUUCCAAUCUUUUAUCCAUCACUUUAGUUCUUCUUCGUGUACCGUAAGGAUGCGUAC